rnacentral:rRNA from 1 species
UCGUAGAUUGAACGCUGGCGGCAGGCCUAACACAUGCAAGUCGAGCGGAUGAAGGGAGCUUGCUCCUGGAUUCAGCGGCGGACGGUGAGUAAUGCCUAGAAUCUGCCUGGUAGUGGGGAUAACGUCCAAACGGGCGCACCGAUACCGCAUACGUCCUGAGAAAGUGGGGAUCUUCGGACCUCACGCCAUCAGAUGAGCCUAGGUCGGAUUAGUUGGGGUAAAGGCCUACCAAGGCGAUCCGUAACUGGUCUGAGGAUGAUCAGUCACACUGGAACUGAGACACAGACUCCACCGGAGCAGUGGGGAAUAUUGGUAAGAAAGCCUGAUCCAGCCAUGCCGCGUGAAGAAGGUCUUCGGAUUGUAAAGCACUUUAAGUUGGGAGGAAGGCAGCAAGUUAAUACCUUGCUGUUUUGACGUUCAACAGAAUAAGCACCGGCUAACUUCGUGCCAGCAGCCGCGGUGGUACGAAGCAAGCGUUAAUCGGAAUUACUGGGCGUAAAGCGCGCUAGGUGGUUCAGCAAGUUGGAUGUGAAAUCCCGGGCUCAACCUGGGAACCUAAUCCAAAACUACUGAGCUAGAGUACGGUAGAGGUGAAUUUCGUGUAGCGGUGAAAUGCGUAGAUAUAGGAAGGAACACCAGUGGCGAAGGCGACCACCUGGACUGAUACUGACACCGAGGUGCGAAAGCGGGAGAACAGGAUUAGAUACCCUGGUAGUCCACGCCGUAAACGAUGUCGACCGCCGUUGGAUCCUUGAGAUCAUAGUGGCGCAGCUAACGCGAUAAGUCGACCGCCUGAGUACGGCCGCAAGGUUAAAACUCAAAUGAAUUGACGGGGCCGCGGUGCACAAGCGGUGGGUUUAAUUCGAAGCAACGCGAAGAACCUUACCUGGCCUUGACAUGCUGAGAACUUUCCAGAGAUGGAUUGGUGCCUUCGGGAACUCAGACACAGGUGCUGCAUGGCUGUCGUCAGCUCGUGUCGUGAGAUGUUGGGUUAAGUCCGUAACGAGCGCAACCCUUGUCCUAGUUACCAGCACCUCGGUGGGCACCUAAGGAGACUGCCGGUGACAAACCGGAGGAAGGUGGGGAUGACGUCAGUCAUCAUGGCCACGCCAGGGCCACACGAGCGCAAUGGUCGGUACAAAGGUUGCCAAGCCGCGAGGUGGAGCUAAUCCCAUAAACCGAUCGUAGUCCGGAUCGCAGUCUGCAACUCGACCUGCGGAAGUCGGAAUCGCAAUCGUGAAUCAGAAUGUCACGGUGAAUACGUUCCCGGGCCUUGUACACACCGCCCGUCACACCAUGGAGUGGGUUGCUCGAAGUAGCUAGUCUAACCGCAGGGGGACGGCUACCACGGAGCGAUUCAUGACUGUGUAGAAUUAGUCGAACAAGUGGUAGCCGUAGAAGUCUGCGGCUG